UCGAAAAUAAGUGAUUUUUUAUAGUUUUUUUUUGUUAUUUUAAUUUAUAAAAAUUCAGCAUCAUACUAUAUCAUAAAAUUUUUUAAGUGCAUUUACGUUUAAUUGAAUUAUAUUAUUUUGACAUAUGUGUAACGAACUUUUGAGUGUAAUUGAAAAUGUCAAUUGGAGAUUGAGGUUAUUUUUUAUUCAAGUAUACAAGAUGUCUUUAUUAAAAAACUAGCUUCCAGUCCCGAAAACCCACUAGACGAUAAAGAAAUUUUGAAGGCAAUGACAGCAGUGAUACAAGGUGCUCGAGAUUGGGAUGGCCAUCGUCUUCUUCGUUUAAAAAAAUGAUCAUUCUAUUGACUGAAUCUAUUGUAUUUUUAUAAAU